rnacentral:rRNA from 1 species
CUGGGAAACUGCCUGAUGGAGGGGGAUAACUACUGGAAACGGUAGCUAAUACCGCAUAACGUCUACGGACCAAAGUGGGGGACCUUCGGGCCUCACGCCAUCAGAUGUGCCCAGAUGGGAUUAGCUAGUAGGUGGGGUAAUGGCUCACCUAGGCGACGAUCCCUAGCUGGUCUGAGAGGAUGACCAGCCACACUGGAACUGAGACACGGUCCAGACUCCUACGGGAGGCAGCAGUGGGGAAUAUUGCACAAUGGGCGCAAGCCUGAUGCAGCCAUGCCGCGUGUGUGAAGAAGGCCUUAGGGUUGUAAAGCACUUUCAGCGAGGAGGAAGGGUUCAGUGUUAAUAGCACUGUGCAUUGACGUUACUCGCAGAAGAAGCACCGGCUAACUCCGUGCCAGCAGCCGCGGUAAUACGGAGGGUGCAAGCGUUAAUCGGAAUUACUGGGCGUAAAGCGCACGCAGGCGGUUUGUUAAGUCAGAUGUGAAAUCCCCGCGCUUAACGUGGGAA